UCCGCAGGGCGCAAGGUCUCCCGAGGCUGGAUCCGCAGCGGUGAUGGGUCUCUGCCCUCGCGGGCGUCCGCGGGCCUUGUCCUCCGACACCUCGGGGAUCGAUCCCCUGGACGACGGAGGGGACUUCGAGAGACUCUGAGCGGACGGUGGGGAAGGCCAGAAAAUGUUGGUAGCCUUCCCCACUAGUCGGGCGGUGUGAGAGGGGAGAACAGACUCGGGUUGAGAUGAAAUAAGUCUGAAGUUGACCUGCCCCUUGGCUCUCGUCCCUUGCUGAGGUCGUCGGGUCGCCGUCCCGCCCGCCCCAGCUCAGUUCGGGCGCUCCCUGUCGCUCGCCGCCACCGCCACCCCUCUGCCUCAUUCCCCGGUUUUGUGUCUUUAUGGCGCUCCUCCGUGGGAAACGCUUUGGGGUAAGGGACUUUCGAAGCUUGGUUACUCGCUUCCUUCUUAGUUACCCAGCCCAAGGAGCCUAGUCGUCUCCAGUGUCCCCCCAGCAGCAGGGCGCAGACACUGUCCCCACCCAGUCUUUCUGCCGUCGGGAAGUGCCAGGUUCGGGUGUUCACGUCGACCGAGCCCGGGCCCGGACUAUAAAGAGUAAAAUCACCCCCGCGACGGCCCAGGUUAUCGGGAAUCCACUACGCAUUUUCCUGGGAGAGUCCCUGCAACCAGGUCUAGCCAUUCUGGGACACCUAGGUGUAGACGGGAAGGGUCUAAGAAUGCCGACACCUGAUGCACAGACGGGGCAGACUGAGGGUCGCAAGCUGCCUGGAGCAGCCACUGCGGCUCUGAGCUCCGACGUCUCCCGGUGCUGAUGGGGACUGUCUCCCGGGAGACCAAGGUGAGAGGCCCUUCACGCAGAAACUUGCCCCACAACCCCGCGUGGUCCUGGGUGCCAACUCUCGACCUCCCAGGGACGCAGGCACCAUCGGACCGCGCUCGGUCCUCCGAUGCUCAGGCCACGGGAGAAGCCACUUGAGCGCCCACCGGAGACAGCAGCUCGGCCAGCUGCCUGAGCCCGGAAUGCAACUGGGUCCCCAGGCGGUUGGAGGACUAGGAUUCCAAAGGACGCGUCUCCCUUACUCCCCUCAAGUCGCCCCCUCCUUUGGCUCCCUUCCGGGCCGGGUUUUCCUCCUGCAAGUCUGGGUCUCAGCCCGAGAGCGAUGCCGGGGAGGUGGAGGCACCUUGCAAACGGCGGGGGCAGCGGCUCUACAUGAACCAACCGCGCCACCUGCCGGCCAGAUGCAGGAGCUCGCGGGCCCGGAGCAAGGCAGGACGGACAAAGACCCAGAGAGACCGCCAGACAGGUGGUCCAAACCCGGCUGGCAAUUUAUUUAAGCCACCUGCCCAGGUCCUGCCAUACUACAGUGUGGGGAGUCCUGUCGCGCCUCCCUCCGCCUUAGACCACGAAAGAUGGACUCGGAAGGCGUUUCAUGCAGAAACUUCACAUUCGACAUUCGAGGGCUCAAGAACUGGGCUGGCAAACUCAGACCCCGGGUAAUCACAACAGCAACUUUCACAGAAGGCGAGAGCGCUUGGCGAGGCGAUGGGCAGUAGCUGAGUCGUUGGCCCAGAGGGACAGUGCGUAAGGCUCCUGGCUUUUUGACUCUGCGGCGAAAAACCUAUUAGAAUUUCACCCACCGGGAAAAGUGGCUUUCCCUUGUUUAGCUACUGAUUUCACAUCAUUGAAGCGGGGGGCGGGGAGACUAUGCACACGAGAAUGUAUGUGUGCGUAUGAAUUAUUAAAAAUAACCGCGCUAA